UAUUAUUUAAGAUGCGAAGAUUUUUUAUUAUUCACAUGCUCUUUGUCUAUUGUUUUCAUGUUUAUACAUAUAGUAAUUACUAAUUUUAUCAACAGGGUAACCAAAUCCAUGUCGUUAGCGUGUAUGGAAGCAAACUUUACAAGAGCAUCAUGUAAAGCCUAUGCUAAAAGAUCUCCUAUUGAAAGUCUGUAACAAUAGCCUCAAACUUUUUAUCAAUUCUAGCACUGUUAUCACUGCCAUGGACAUACCAAAAAUUCCACAUCACAACUUCAAUUUCAAGCCAUUUGGAGAUUUCUUAAACGAGGAUUUUGAAGUCGAUCGCUUAUAUGGUCAUUGACAUAUAGGGGCCUCAAAGUAUUUCAAGAUAUUACAAUAUAUUGCAGAAAUUGUCUGGUUUGAGCGUCGCCCCAUCCAUAUAUGAGGGCAAUUGUAUGGGCAUGUGUGGUAUUUGGUUGCAAGGAAAUCGAUUUGGGAAUGGAUGGCCUAUUCUUAACUGUUUUGGGAACUUGGGAGAGAACAUUAUUAAGGAAGAAGUGAGGGACCUUUUCACUGGGUAUGUGCAUCUUAUCCUUUCACACAGGCUUUACUGUUAAGUCUAUGUAGUAUUUUCUAUAUUGUCUCAUGUAUGUGAUUAAUCUGUUGAACUUGGCUUUCUAAUGCAGACAAUCUGGUUUUAAGCAAAUGAAUAUUUUAAGGCAUGAGAGGCAUACCGUCUGCUUCAUUGAGUUUAAAGUCUGUAAACUUUUGUUCACAUUUGUGUUUUUUAUUGUCUGAAAAAUCAUUUUUUGCAUUGUGUUUCUGUAAACUUUAAUACUUGUCUUGUGUUUGCAUUCAAACUUUCCUCAGUUUGGUAUUCAAUAACGUAUUGCAGGAUGUGAAGCUCUAUUUUCUUGAUUAUUUUUCAACUCAUGUUCAUUCCAUAACUAACCCAGCAUCUAGGCGUUUUAUGACGACGAAAUACAUUGGAAGUUUUUGCUUAAAUGCUUCGCACUUAUUCCUAUUCACCAUGUAUGUUUGCUUUGGUCUUUUAAUGUAACCAUGGGUGUAUUUCGUUUGGUUUUUAAUGGGUUUUCUUGAAAUUUGUA